GACGAACGCUGGCGGCGUGCUUAACACAUGCAAGUCGAACGGAAAGGCCCUGCUUUUGUGGGGGGCUCGAGUGGCGAACGGGUGAGUAACACGUGAGUAACCUGCCCUUGACUUUGGGAUAACUUCAGGAAACUGGGGCUAAUACCGGAUAGGAGCUCCUGCUGCAUGGUGGGGGUUGGAAAGUUUCGGCGGUUGGGGAUGGACUCGCGGCUUAUCAGCUUGUUGGUGGGGUAGUGGCUUACCAAGGCUUUGACGGGUAGCCGGCCUGAGAGGGUGACCGGCCACAUUGGGACUGAGAUACGGCCCAGACUCCUACGGGAGGCAGCAGUAGGAAAUAUGACACAAUGGGCGGAAGCCUGAUGCAGCAACGCCGCGUGCGGGAUGACGGGCUUCGGGUUGUAAACCGCUUUCGCCUGUGACGAAGCGUGAGUGACGGUAAUAGGUAAAGAAGCACCGGCUAACUACGUG
rnacentral:rRNA from 1 species